AUUAGGGUUUGAUUUAGGAUUUAGGAUUUGGUUUAGGAUUUAGUUAGGAUUUAUUUAGGGUUUAGGAUUUGGUUUAGGAUUUGGUUAGUGUUUGGUUAUGAUUUGGUUAGGAUUUGGUUAGUAUUUGGUCAGGAUUUGGUAUAGAAUUAAGGAUUUAGAUCAGGGUUUGGUAUAGGAUUUAGGAUUUGAUUAAGGUUUUAUUUAGGAUUUAGGAUUUGCUUAGGGUUUGGUUUAGGAUUUGGUUAGGAUUUAGUUUAGUAUUUGGUUGGAAUUUUGUUUAAGGUUUAUUUAGGAUUUGAUUAAGGAUUUAGGAUUUUAUUAGGAUUUAAGAUUUAAUUAGUUUUGGCCUAAAGUUUAAAUGAAGUUCAAUAGGAUUUUAACUAGAACUAAAUUAAGAUUGAAUUGAGAUGUAUUUGAGUGAUAUUUGUGAUCCUUAUAAUAUUUCUUUAAGAAUUUUUAUUAUUUGUUUGAAAUUUCUUUGAGGUUUUUUUGAAUUUGAUUAAGCUUAUUUAUCAUUAUUAUGAUUUAAUUAGAGCAUUGUUAGUAUUCUGUUAGAAUUAGGAUUUUGUUAUUGCAAUUUCCAUUCUUUCUUCCACAGCCA
rnacentral:lncRNA from 1 species